AUGCUUGAGCAGCACAUACACUAAGAUUGGAACAACACAGAGAAGCUGAGCAUGGCCCCUGCGCAGGAGAACGUACACGUUCAUGAAGCAUUCCAUAUUUUU
ensembl:snRNA U6 U6 spliceosomal RNA